UUAAAUUGAAGAGUUUGAUCAUGGCUCAGAUUGAACGCUGGCGGCAGGCCUAACACAUGCAAGUCGAACGGUAACAGGAAGCAGCUUGCUGCUUCGCUGACGAGUGGCGGACGGGUGAGUAAUGUCUGGGAAACUGCCUGAUGGAGGGGGAUAACUACUGGAAACGGUGGCUAAUACCGCAUAACGUCGCAAGACCAAAGAGGGGGACCUUCGGGCCUCUUGCCAUCAGAUGUGCCCAGAUGGGAUUAGCUUGUUGGUGAGGUAACGGCUCACCAAGGCGACGAUCCCUAGCUGGUCUGAGAGGAUGACCAGCCACACUGGAACUGAGACACGGUCCAGACUCCUACGGGAGGCAGCAGUGGGGAAUAUUGCACAAUGGGCGCAAGCCUGAUGCAGCCAUGCCGCGUGUAUGAAGAAGGCCUUCGGGUUGUAAAGUACUUUCAGCGGGGAGGAAGGUGUUGCGGUUAAUAACCGCAGCAAUUGACGUUACCCGCAGAAGAAGCACCGGCUAACUCCGUGCCAGCAGCCGCGGUAAUACGGAGGGUGCAAGCGUUAAUCGGAAUUACUGGGCGUAAAGCGCACGCAGGCGGUCUGUCAAGUCGGAUGUGAAAUCCCCGGGCUCAACCUGGGAACUGCAUUCGAAACUGGCAGGCUUGAGUCUUGUAGAGGGGGGUAGAAUUCCAGGUGUAGCGGUGAAAUGCGUAGAGAUCUGGAGGAAUACCGGUGGCGAAGGCGGCCCCCUGGACAAAGACUGACGCUCAGGUGCGAAAGCGUGGGGAGCAAACAGGAUUAGAUACCCUGGUAGUCCACGCCGUAAACGAUGUCUACUUGGAGGUUGUGCCCUUGAGGCGUGGCUUCCGGAGCUAACGCGUUAAGUAGACCGCCUGGGGAGUACGGCCGCAAGGUUAAAACUCAAAUGAAUUGACGGGGGCCCGCACAAGCGGUGGAGCAUGUGGUUUAAUUCGAUGCAACGCGAAGAACCUUACCUGGUCUUGACAUCCACGGAAGUUUUCAGAGAUGAGAAUGUGCCUUCGGGAACCGUGAGACAGGUGCUGCAUGGCUGUCGUCAGCUCGUGUUGUGAAAUGUUGGGUUAAGUCCCGCAACGAGCGCAACCCUUAUCCUUUGUUGCCAGCGGUCCGGCCGGGAACUCAAAGGAGACUGCCAGUGAUAAACUGGAGGAAGGUGGGGAUGACGUCAAGUCAUCAUGGCCCUUACGACCAGGGCUACACACGUGCUACAAUGGCGCAUACAAAGAGAAGCGACCUCGCGAGAGCAAGCGGACCUCAUAAAGUGCGUCGUAGUCCGGAUUGGAGUCUGCAACUCGACUCCAUGAAGUCGGAAUCGCUAGUAAUCGUGGAUCAGAAUGCCACGGUGAAUACGUUCCCGGGCCUUGUACACACCGCCCGUCACACCAUGGGAGUGGGUUGCAAAAGAAGUAGGUAGCUUAACCUUCGGGAGGGCGCUUACCACUUUGUGAUUCAUGACUGGGGUGAAGUCGUAACAAGGUAACCGUAGGGGAACCUGCGGUUGGAUCACCUCCUUACCUUAAAGAA
rnacentral:rRNA from 3 species